rnacentral:rRNA from 1 species
ACUCCUACGGGAGGCAGCAGUGCGGAAUUUUGGACAAUCGGCGCAAGCCUGAUCCAGCCAUGGCGCUUGAGUGGAGAAGCCCUUCGGGUUGUAAAGCUCUUUCGCAAGGAAAGAAAACUUACUCUCUAUUAUAGAGUGAGGCUGACGGUACCUUGAUAAGAAGCACCGGCUAACUACGUGCCAGCAGCCGCGGUAAUA